rfam:Tupaia chinensis contig195186, whole genome shotgun sequence.
AGCUUUGCGUAGUGGCAGUAUCGUAGCCAAUGAGGUUUAUCCGAGGCGCAAUUAUUGCUAAUAGAAUAAACGCACACAUAUUUUGUACCACUUUUUUUUUUUAAUGUCAGAGGGUGUGUGCAUUUUCUUGAGAGAGA